rnacentral:misc_RNA from 1 species
UCUAAGGGGGGGGCGGAGGGAGGAGGGUCACAGCUGAGUCGAGAACUGUGAUACUUGAAAAUAGAAAGCUAAAAGUAAGGAUGUUUUUAUUUCAUACUUAGCUGGAUGAAUGAUAUUCAUCAACCUACUUUUCUCACCUUUUGAAAUUGCUACCUAAUAAAAACAGAAAAGAACUGGAGGGACAGGACACAAAUAACUACCGGAAGAAUGAUACAGAUCGGACCUAAAGCUAAAUAUUGUACACCAUCUGAGACUUCCUCCACAAAUGUCAAAUGGCCACCAAUGCUGCAACAAACUGACAAAAGACACGAGCCAAUAGCAGUUGCAAUAGAAAGAUAAUUAUCAGCUGACCCCUAUCAACAAGAGACAUCACGAAAUAGCCCUUUUGAUUCAUCAUAAAUCCAUUUGCAUAUGUAAAGAGGUUGUGAUACAUCAUUAGACCCCUUUGCUAGGCGAGCUCUCCUCUCACUUUCCUCGGUAAACUUUCGUGGAGGAUGUACUUCGCAUGGACCUUGUAUCAAGCCAGCCAUUACUAUGCUACUAUAAGUAGACAAAUAAACCUCAUUAUUGUUCUCCAAGCAUGGGCGGCCUACAGACUGUGGUAAUUCACGUGCAAAGUAACAUUGAUUGAUAGAAACCCACUUUGUUCCCGCUUUUUUGUCCUCCCACAUAGCCAGAAGUUUUGAAGGAAUCAAUCGCUCAUUCUCAAAACGUAUAAGAGCAUAGUCCUGAACACUAUAUAUGAAUCCAUUAAUGCGGCAAGAUUGAUAAUAAUACUUGUCAUCUGCAACUUGAAG